rnacentral:rRNA from 1 species
UACGGAGGGAGCUAGCGUUGUUCGGAAUUACUGGGCGUAAAGCGCGCGCAGGCGGCCAACUAAGUCAGACGUGAAAUCCCUCGGCUUAACCGGGGAACUGCGUCUGAUACUGGAUGGCUUGAGUUCGGGAGAGGGAUGCGGAAUUCCAGGUGUAGCGGUGAAAUGCGUAGAUAUCUGGAGGAACACCGGUGGCGAAGGCGGCAUCCUGGACCGACACUGACACUGAGGAGCGAAAGCCAGGGGAGCAAACGGG